UGCACUUGGAUCCUGGUAUCUGCCCAUGUCAGAGGCUGCAGGCUCAUCCUCAAGAUUCCUUGGAACAAACAAAGCAGAUGUUGCCACAAUUCCCUGUAUGACUCUACCCUUAAUCUGUUGGAGCUAAUUAACUAUCCUUGCUAGCAAAGGGCUUGGGAAGAAAGCAUUUCUGUUAGGAAAAAAGAUUUGGGAUUUUAAUUCAUACAAACCAUAAUAAAGACAGCAAGAAGAGACCUGGAGGACAUGAGAACAUGAACAGGGACAGAUGAAGACAAAGGGAAUAGCCACUCACUUCCAAGGGAGCCCUGGCUACUCUGCAAACCUGUUAGCUUAGAUAUCCAAGCUACUCAGGAGACUCAGA